rnacentral:lncRNA from 1 species
UGAGAUAUAUCAAUAACCAAUACCAGUCCACAUUAAUCAACAAAGCCUCUAAUAAAAUCACAUCAAUUUAAGUUGGGACUUGCCCUCGACGAUAGCCAAAAAUAAGUCCAAAGAAAAGUCUAUGAUAAUAGAUAAACCAAUAAGCAAUAGCCUUCCAAAAGAGGGAGGCUCACCACUUCAAGUUGAUUGUUGAAAAGUAUAAAAUCCCAUCACUGCACAGAAAAAAGUAGAAGUAUCUCCGCUUCCUGCAUCGCGUAGGGAUACAAUAUCCGAAGAUGGUUAGCUGAUUGAGAACUAACAUGUAACUCAGGAAUAAGGGGUAAAAUAAUGUCAUGAUCAAUAGUUUAAAAUCAUUCAGAAUCAAUGCACACAACGAUAUGCAAGUACAUACAUACACACACAUAUAUAUCACAUGUUGGAGUAGGGAACAAGGCUUAUCAUGAACUUUAAAACCUUAACCUUGACUGUGUAUCUCAAUCAUAAAAAGACACCCAUGAGCUAUAUGGGAUCAACUCUCCCCCAGCUGAAAGGGCACUAGUGCGUGUAGCCGCACAAACCAGAGAAUAAUCAUAUGUGCAUAUGUACCAUAGGGGACUUGAACCUCCCAGUCAUAUAUCAAGGGUGACUUAAGUACUCAUCUAUUUAACAAGGGGGACUCAAACUACCCAAUCAUUUAAUAAGGGGGACUUAAAACACCCGAUCAUUUAGGACCCCAUGCCGGCAAACGCGGCUUCUAGUAUUGGUCCCUCGGAACCUCUUUCACCGCCCAGAUACACAACCCCCUUUAAGCACACUUAAAUAUUUUUCACAUAUUUUCAUUCAUUGAACCAAUUUAUUAAGGCACCCCGUUGGUAUCAUAAUACCAACUUCACUUGCAAGCUAGCACUGUCAUGCCAUAUAAAUUAACCAUUCACAUGGGGGAAAUUUAUGACCCCUCUAGGUUCAAUUCUCAUUUAUACGGGGAAUCCACAAUCCUCAAGGUUCAAUAAAAUUUUCAUUCUUCAAAUGCCUUUUAUGCCAUACAAUGGUUCCAAAGGUAUUUUCAAUAUGCAUGUACUCAUAUUCAAAGCCAAUUUCAAAAAUUAGGUUGAGGUUAGAUCAAUUCAAUUACCAAAAUUCACAAAAUUGGGGGAAAACCAUAUCCCCUUAGUUUAUUCACCAUUCCCAUGCACCCCACAAGUUCAAAAUCAUAACUAAAUAUGAACAAUGCAUAUAAUAUUAUAGGAAUCCAAUUUAAGAAACAUUCAUUCCAAAACCCUCAACCCAUAUCAAAACCCAUGUUCAAAUCCAUAUAAACAAUCAUAUAAUUUCAUGAUUUAAGUAAACCAAGUUUAAGGGCAGAGUCACAUGCCCGAAAGUAUCACAAUUUUGAAGAAAAUUCACCCUUGGAAGCUCUAGACAAUCAACCUUCAGAAACCCUCGGUGUUCUUUGAUUUAGGGAUUUGAGAGUAUAAAGAGAGUGUUUUGAUUUGUUAAAUAAUAAAAAUAAUGCCCCAAAGAUGUUUUAUGAUUGCGGGUAUUAAGUGGAGAGGGAGGGAAUUGAUCAAAAUACCCCAACUUAAUUAUGCUGAAAAUUUUUGCUCAGUUGCUACGGGUGAUCUUACGACUCGUAAGGCUCCACUCAUAGUCUGGAUAGUGUCCAUAGUCACCAAAACUGGUCUCAUUAUAAGUCAUACACUACAGGUCAUAUACAGACCUUAUGACUCGUACAGACAUAAUCAUACCCUGAGCAGAAACUUGGGCCAUCACUUUGGUUUGGUUGCGAAAGGCACACUACGACUCGUUGAGUUCCAUUCGUGAUCAAAAUAGAAACUCGACUAAACACACUGGUCACCCUAUGGAUGGUAUCCUACGACCCUUAUAAACACCUUAUGAUUCGUAUGAGGAGUCGUAGCCUGGGAAGUAAGCUCAAAGGUCAAGAAAUUUUGAGGACCAAAAUCCGAGGUAUUUCAAAACAACAACUAAUAGAAUGCUCUUAGCCAUGAAAUAACAUGGUAGUACCUCGAUACCUAACUCCUCUUACCUUAAAACAAUGAGGAAUUUUAGGCCGAUAGCAUAUUGUUCCACUAUGUACAAGACCAUAGAAAAAGUCAUUUCGCAAAUUAAAUAUUGAAUGAGGUUAUCAGAGGUAUUGUGGGACCUUGUUAGUUAACCGUUAUUUCAAUUUCCAGGAAUGCUUAUUUCUUAUAACAUUCUUAUAAGCCACGAACUGGUAAAGGAUUAUACUAAGAAAUAUUUAUCCCCGGGGUGUAUGAUCAAAGUUGAUCUUUAGAAAGCAUACGAUUCUGUGGAGUGGCAUUUCAUAUCAUAAAUACUUAGAGAGAUUGGUUUUAGUAAUGUUAUGUUUAAUUGGAUCAUGACUUGUAUUAACACAGUAAGCUAUACCUGUAUGAUAAAUAGGAGAUUAUCUGACACUAUGAGGACCGGAAGGAAUUGAGAUAAGGAGAUCCUAUGUCCCCCUAUAUUUUUUCUACUGAGGGAGUACCUAAACAGAUGAAUAUGUUCUUUUAAGCAAGGAAAUUGAGUUCAACUUUCAUCCCAUAUGCUAGAAAUAAAACAUCACUUACUUAUGCUUUGCAUACAAAUUAUUAUUAUUUGCAACAAGAAACCUCAUAUCAGUCUAGAAGCUAAGGAACAUAUUUUAUAUUUUCUCUUCGACUUUGGGCUAAAGGCUAGUUAGUCCAAAAGUCAUGUUUACCUUGGAGGUAUGGAGCAGACUACUAACAACAAAUAUUAAAGUUGUUAGGAUAUGAGAUGGCUGAAUUACCCUUUAAGUAUAUGGUCAUUCCCUAUCCAUCGUGAGGAUCAUAGUACCCCAAUGCCAACCCUUGGAAAGAAAAUUGACAUCGUGAACCACUGCUUGGAUGGCUAGGAGUCCAUCAUAUGCGGGUAGAUUACAACUCUUCAAGACAACCUUGUUUAGUGUCCAAGCUUAUUGGGCACAACUAUUUUGCUUCCCUCAAAAGAUUAUUAAGAUGGUUGAAGCAAUAUGUAGAAGUUACUUGUGAAUAAGGAAUGUUUGUAUUUCUAAGAGAGCAUUUGUAGCAUGGCAAAGAGUUUUUCUGCUAAUAAAUGCAAGAGAGUUGAACACACCAAAUUUAAAACUCUAAAACUAUGUAGUCAUUUGUAAACUUCUUUGGGCACUCAAUCACAAGAAGUUCAAGAUGUGGAUAUCGUGGAUACACACAUACUACAUAAAGAAGUAAGGAACUACACGAGUUACCCUUCUACUUUGGGACCUGGUCCUAACUAAAUGUAUGCAAUAGGAAAACUAAAUAGAACAAACUUGUAAAGUAAAUAAUCAAAGAACACAACAAGUUUUAUUUGGAAACUCCUUGCUCAAGGGAGAAAAACCACAACCCAUCACAUAGGAUUUUCAACAGCUUCACUAGAUUCAAGAAACCUUGAAUACAGACUCCAUGACUUCAAGGAUUAACCUCUUAACCCUUCUUUCACUUGUAAUAACUCUAUUACAAUAAACUUCAAUGCAAUAACUCUAUUGUAUCCACUGAUUCAGCUAACUCUAACUAAGACAAUAAUCUAGCUAACUCUAGCUUCUUUGUCACCUAACUAUAGAUGACACAUUAUGUCACGACUCGAGACUACCCCCUAGUAGUAACAUGGUUCUUAGAUCCAUAAGUGAUCCCAAGCUAACCCAUGAACUGGCAUGACACUUGAGCAUCUAAAUUAAAUUAAUUAUAUAAGUUAAAUUUGCUAAACGGAAGCAUAAUCAUAAGAAAAUAUAAAUAUAUAUGAUAUUAAAAAGGUUUGGACCACGAUAAAUCUGAAGGAAGAACUUGAAUUACAUGAGUGACUCUGACUAAUUGUCUACGAAGCCUCUACUAUACUGACUGUAGGUGGAUGGGACAUGCCUCAAACUACCAUAAAUCAAUACAUAAGAAUAAUAACAAUACAGUACAUGAAUUAGUACUGACUGGAGUCUCUGAAACAAGAGAACUCAUCACCUGUUGGCUGAAAGUUGUAAACUAUCUGAUUAUGAUGCGUGGACUACAACUGGUACCUAAAUUAUGAGAUAAUGUAGCACAUAGAUGAAUAUAUGGAUCAGUACUUCUGGAAACUGAGUAAGUGGGGGUGAAUGCAAUAAGUAAAACUGAUUACACACAUAAUCUUAAAACAUAUAUGCUAAGUGCAAGUAGACACACCAAGAGAUUGAAAUAAACUGAAAGUUGAAGUAUCUUUAAACAUGAGGAACAAACAUAAUCUGAUAAGCUAGUGAAUCACUACACUUAGUAUCUUAAAAUUUUUACUUUUGUAGAAUAAGUAGAACUGAAGCUGGGAAGCGGUAAAAACAUGAGUACUGUAUGUAAAUCUCAUGUCAAGCUGAACAUGCUAUAAAACUGAAAUGAGGAUCAUGUAUGGAUACUGAGCAUGGAAACAUGAACAUGUAAAACUAAGAACGCAAGACCAAGCAUAGCAUAUACUGACAGGAUCUGAAUAACAUGAAUAAUCUAUAAAACUGACUGAAUAAUUACUGAAAAAUUACUUGGUCAAUCAAACCUGAACUAAUAUAAACUGAAUAUUGAAUGAAAUUGUGGGAGCUAUCAUGUAACUGGCAUAUCCCAAUCUAAGUUAAUCGGGGUCUAACCUGUAACCCCAGUUGGAAGGGUGUUAGUACCUUGCCACGGGUACUAACACAUGGCUGUGUGGAUCCACUAAACUGGAGUACCAAAGUACUAGGGAGUCAUCCUCUAUUGGCUGAUGCCCCUAAAAGAUGGUCCACUCUCUACUGGCAGGAAGACCCCUCAUGCCUAUGCUGGCUAUGUAGUUCUGGAACUCAAGGACUGCUACUAAAGGUCACACCCUCUACUAGAAGGUGAGCUCCUAUCUCUAGGUUUGCUCGGUGCUAAAUCUUACUCCCAACUGAAUCACAUUGGUAUUAUUAGAGGUCUAACAAAAUGUGGUACUGUACUGAUAAAUGCUCAACAUAAACAUGGUAUUCCGAAUAAAAUAAUAAAACAUGGUCUGACUGACUUGUAACUUGAAAAUGAAAACAUGUAAAACACAUAGGUAUCGGGUGUUCAUAACCCGCUAGCACUAAAUGAUUACUAAAAUAUGAUAACAACACUUGAAACAAUGGUAGAAAGUAGUAAUUCAGAGACCCAAAACAUAUUACAUUUCAAUACAUAAAGGAGACACGUGAAUUUGAACAUGGGAAUGAGAUAAACUUGGGAGGAUAAUAAUUUUACAUGGUUCAAUUCAUUACUUGAUGGUUUAACAUGAAGUCAAUGGAGUAUGACAUGGUAAAUUGAAAUUCAAAUGUAAAAUAACCUAAUUCAUGUGGAGACGCAUGUUGACGUAGCUUAAAUCCAAAUUACUAAGAAAAUACAUAGAUUAAAUUCAUUAUUAACAUGGGUAAUUUCAUAAAAGAAUGAGAAUUUUAUACUUUAAUCAAAAAGAGGAUUUUUUGGGGACUUAAUGGGUGGAAGAAACCCAUUGAUGAAUACCCCACAUACCUUAAUUGGAUGAGUUUUUGAAGAUAUCUUGAAAUUGGAACUUGAAUCCUUAAGUAUUGAGGAAGAAAGCUUAAAUUUCUUAUUUUUGGGAAGAAAGGCUUGAAUUGCUCGUUCUUGGGGAGGAGGAGGGUUUCUACAUGAGAAAUUUUUAGGGUAAUAGGCAAAUAAUGCCCUUUUGAGUUUUAUAAGUCGUGUUUUAGACGACUGGGGUCAAGGGAAUGGCCUACGCAAUGCGGGCCUAUCGCGGAACCUUACUGUUUCUCACGAGAAUGGUCAUAACUUUUUGCUCGAGUAUCAAAUUAAGGCAAAAUUGGUAUCAUUGGAAAGAUAAUUCAAUUAUUUAUAAUUUGGUAGGUCCUGAGAUGCAAAAUUACAUAUAUGUAAAAAUUUAUACACGAUCAAAGUUGACCCUUGUAGAAUUGAAUAUCAAAAUUUAGCCGAAUCAAAGGCUCUUAGCUCAACUGUACUCUAAGUGAUUUCCAUGGACAUUUUUUCACCUUAAAAGAAUUCUUAACACUAGAUUAUGGUCAUGAAACAUAUAUUCAAAUGAAAAUCAUGGGAUUAGAGUUUACACAUAUUGGAACGACGGUUGAAAGACUAGCCUAAAAAUGCAGGGUGUUACACUUUGAGAACAAGAACUGAAAAGACAAUACCUACUAAUAAUGAAUAAGAUCAGUAGGUAAUAUUUACACACACAAAAUAAAGGCUCAAUUACAACAAGAGUUUGAGACGCACGAGCAAGCUGAACAGGUCCCGAUUGUGAGUGAGGCUUUGAAUAGGAGAGCUUCAACAAAUUUGAUGUUAUGAAAAUACGGAGCUUAGGUUUUCGUGUUUUACCAUAAACAUAUAUAAGAGACAAGAAAAGAUAGGAUGAUUCUAAUUGGUUGGGACAAAUGAGGUUGCAGCUUUCCCACCAACUUACUGUAGAGCUACAUUUUUUCUAGCUAUAGUGCUAACCAGUAAUGGUAACGCGAACGAGAACAACCUGGUCCCUAAGUAGUUUUAGAUUUUUCAUCAAAUGAUCUUCAGGAACUAGGUCCCAAGAUGAUAGUUUUAUCAAUCAUCAAAACUAAGGACUUAACAAUUUCCCCCUUUUUGAUGAUGACAAACCCAUACUCAACCUUAAGCAUUCACAGUCUGUUCCCUCUAUUGUUGAUACCAUCCCAAUGAUUUCCCCCUUCCUGUUGCACCUAGUAUUUGAGUUCCCCCUUGAGUAUAGGACUUCUUCCCCCAAAAAUGUGAUAGUAACACUAACACUAUUGUACCUAAUCUUCCUCAUUUUGGCAUCAUUAAAGAGACAAAACAAUAAACUAAGUGAAGAUAAGCACAUAUGUUAAUGUAUGACCAUUGAGGCUACACUAACAUGAGUAAGAAAAAAUUAGGAAAAGGAAAACAAGAUGAUAGAACCAUACACAGUUAUUUUAUUGAUCAUUCGGAUAAUAUCAUAAAUAAUUCAAAAAUGAAAAACAUUAGAAAACUAAGUACAAGUAGUGCCAUAAAAUAGAGUGAAGGAGGGGAACUAAUAAUUGAGCUUAAAGGGACUAGACACAACAGGGCUUAAGAAGAGGGGACACACAAUAAGGACCAAGUUGGACAGAUACUCAGGCUGAAAGACCUGAAGGGGCCUAGGACAACAAACGGAGAAGCAGAGUAAUCCUCUCAUUUUCAGUAGCGUGAUUUUCAAAAGUUGUUGAGUUAGAUCCUCAACCUUGGUUUCCAAAUUUUAGACCUUAUCACGCAAUAUCUCAUUCUUAGCACAAAGGUUUUUUAUCUAACCUGGUCUCUUUUCACCACCUUUCACAUUUGCAGCCUUUAAGGCUACAAUCUUAGUGUCAUUUUUUUUUACCUAUAAUAGCAGCUAUUUCUUCCAGGUCUUCUCUCAACCUAGUUUGUACAUCUAUCAAGUCAACAACUAUAGAUUUUUAUUUAGCACCACUCCACCUAAAAAUGCACUCAUUAUCCUCCAACAUUGUCAAGUUAAACAUUUAUUUCACGGAUACUUCCUUUCUAGGUCUACAUUCCAUACAAAAAUAUAAAAAAAAAUCUUUUUCAACCAAAACCUUUAUGCUAACCCAUGUUUGCCAUCCUUGGCAGUCAUCAACCUAUGCAUGUUUCCAAUGAUGAUUGUAGAGAGAUUCAUAUGUUGGAACUUUGAAAUUACCUCCAUAUAGAAUAGGUCGAGACCUAUGACAGUUGUUCUUUUCUUAGUGCAGGAAGCAAGUCUUUGUUGACCAGUUCAAAAGGAGCCAAAACUCUCCUUUCAACCUUUCUUUCUCACAUUCUUAAUACUUAGGUCAUCCAACUUUCCACAAACCUUUAAGAACUUUCAGAUCCUUUUUCAUUAGCCAAGGACCUGAUCCCUUGAAUAGGUACUCCCAAGAUUUCAUCCAACACCAGCUCAUCAAGAGCAAUACUUACAUCAUUAACCUGAGUAGUCAAAUAUAAAGCAUUAUCAGAGAAGAUGAGAUUGUAAUAGAAUAUCCUGACCUCUUUCUUAUGUAGAGUGGGAACUGGAGGCUAGAAGAGAUGCUCUCAACUCUAAAAUUUGACCUUCUCUAUAAAAUCAACCAUGCAAGGCAUGACAGCAAUUACAGGAUAAAAAAUUCUUUUUCUCAAGACUUUCUAAAUCUUGAGGAUUUCUUGUCUCUCCUCUCUUGUUAACUUUUUCUCCUUUUAUAGUAGAGGCCUUACCAAUAAGACCAGUUCCUUUAACUAAAAUCCCAAGAACUUUGGAAGUCAUGACAGCUGUAAAACUGGGACCUAGUCCCUCAGAGCUUUUUGCCUCUUCUCUCUUUCUCUUUUCUUUGCCAGUAGACACUGGGUUUUUAAUUAAAACUCCUUUUGGUUUUCCUUUUUUUUGGAAAUGGCACCACUUCCCUUUUCCUUAGCUUAUUUAAUAGCCACACUUCUCACAUUAUCAUCAACGUCAUCCUUACAAUCACUACCAAAGAUGCUAUCAAAAUCACUAUCAGUCUCAUCAUCAACACUUUUAGUUUUUUUCUCAAUUUCUUCUACAACCACAACUUUCUCAACAAGCACCUCACUUCAGCAACAACCCUUUUCUUUAAACUCCUCUUUUUCUUAGUAUUGCAUUUAUUUUCCACCAAGGCAUCCUCCAUCAAUUUCGUUGAACUCAACCUGGUCCUAUGGGUCUUGGCUUCCUUAGAAGGCAUCUUUGCAGUAGUUAACACACUUUGUUUAUACAUAUUCCAAGAUAGGGGCUUGUUGUCAUCACUAUCUAUAGUUCCCUUAUCUUUAGCAUCCUUGUCAGUCAAAUCAAGAACAAGAGGGAAAAUAAUGGUUUUAUUCUCCACCCCUUUAGGAGGAUCAUUUUUCCUCCUAGUAGAUAACAAAGUUGGUGUAUUAUCCCAUUUAAGAGAGCCAGGAGAGAUAGAAUCUCUAGGAGUCUUUUCCCUCAAGGUAGUCAUGCCCUGAGUGGUAAUUUAUUCACUCAUUUUAAGGAUAUUAGAGGAGAUUCCCUUGCAGUAGGUAAAUCAUCAUCAAAUAUGUUUUUAUCUAUUGUAGACUUCCUGACUUAUUUAAUGAACCAGCCUUUUCAGGUGUCUGAACUUUAGAUAGGGGUCUGAACCUUAGAUAGGGAGACUGAAACUUACUUUGGAGAAAUAGGUUGGUCUGAAGGUUUUAGAGUAUCUUCUGAGCCAUUUUCUAUUACUAAGUCAGAAAUAGGUGAAGCAUUUUGAUCCUUUGGCUGAGGAUAUGAUGCGGAGGCAUCUUUAUCUUUCUAAGAGGUUAAAGGAUUUUUAUUUUUAAGAGAGGAGUAUGGGGUAAACUUGACUAUGGGAAAGUGGUUUUCUAAUUCUAAGUUAUGAGAAAAAGAUGGUGAAUGGAGAAUGGAAAUGGGUGUGGGUUCAUCUGGAGAAGGAGAAGAUGAAGAUAGAUUAGACACUAUGAUAAGAUUUGAAAUAUUUAUCGAACACUAGAAUGUAAAGAAGGAGAAGAAGUUUGGGAACUGAUAAGGCAAGAAUGAAAUUUUUUAAAUAAGAGUGUGAAGUGAGAGAGUAGAUUUGGUUUAUAUAGAGAAGAAAGAAUGGUUAGGAUUUUGAAAAGAUAAUGGUUAGGAUUUUGAAAGGAUGUGAUAAAUGAGAUGUGUCCAGUCAGAUGGACAUGUCUCUUGGGCUUAAAGCAGGGUUGACAACUUUUUCUAAUAGGCAGAAAGUCUACGUGGCACAUCCCCUAUUAAUUUUAAAAUAUAAUUAUUUAAGAAUGAGAUAUUAUGCUAACCUAAUGAGGGACCUGGUUCGUACAUGAUAUUCUGAAAUUUUAGUGCUUGAAUUUGUCUCAUCCUCCUUCUUAAUCUUCUUCUCCUUACCACAGGUAUAUAUCUGUGGAAGAUAUAAGAUCUAUGGAAGAUAUAAGACUGAGUUAGACAUGUGUAAUGUUGUCUUACAUGGAUACUUGCUCAUCAAAUCAUAGCCAUUCUAAAGAAAUAAGAGGAACAACAUGCAUUCAAAUUUUUCUCAUCAAACCUAACUUUAUUCUGUUCUUUUCAAACUGGUCCCUCCCAAGUGCCUUGGUAAAUAUAUAAACUAUUUGGUCCUCCAUUUUUCAAAAAAAUAUCUUUAUCGGUCCCUUCUCUGCAUUAUCCCUAAGUAAGUGAUGUUUGAUAUCAAUAUGAUUGGUUCUCUUAUGUUGUAUCAGAUUCUUGGCCAUAUUGACUACACUUGUAUUGUCACAAAAUAGAGAAAAUCAAUCUGAAAGAAUUCCAAAACCUUCAAGUGGUUGCUUGAUCCAUAGAAAUUGAGCAUAGCAUGAGGCAGUUGCCAUAUAUUUAGCUUUAGCAAUUGAAAGAGCCCCUGAAUUUUGUUUUUUGGUGCCCUAGGAAAUCAAUGAUGGUGCUAAAAAAUAAGUAAUUUCUAAGGUAUUCUACCUAUCAACCAGGUAUCCAGCAUAAUCAGCAUUAACAUACCAAACCAGAUCAAAAUUAUCACCAGCAGGAUAGAGGAGGACCAGGUCGGGGUGCCCUUGAGAUAUCUCAAAAUCCUUUUGGCAAAUUUCAAGUGAGAUUCCUUUGGACUUGCUAGGAGUCUAGAACACAUGCCUACACUAAACACAAUGCCAGGUCUGCUAGUUAUAAGAUAGAGCAAUGAACCAAUAAUUCCUUUGUACAUAGUCUUAUUGACAGGAGGACCAAGUUCAUCCAAGUCUAAUUUUGAGGAGGUUUCAAUGGGAGUAUCAAUGGGCUUUGCAUCCUCCAUGUGUUACCUUUUUCAAAAAUUCAUGGAUAUACUUUUGCUGGCAGAUGAUAGUACCAGUUGUACUUCACUUUAUCUACAACCCAAGAAAGAAGUUGAUCUCCCCCAUUAUGCUCAUCUCAAAUUCACUACUCAUUAAUUUAGCAAAUUCAUCACAUAAGGAACUGGUUGUGGCCCCAAAUAUGAUUUUACUAACAUAAACUUAAACAAUGAGAAAAAUUCUCCCUCUUGGCUUCAAUAACAGUGUGUUGUCAAUCUUUCACCUUUUGGAGCCAUUGUCAAGCAAAAACUUUGAGAUUUUCUCAUACCAAGAUAUAGGAGCUUGCUUCAAACCAUAUAGAUCUUUGUCCAAUUUGAACACAUGAUUUGGAAAAUCAACAUCUUUAAAGCCUGGAGGCUACUUCACAUACACUUCUUCCUUAAGCAAUCCAUUUGGAAAAGCACUUUUCACAUCCAUAUAAAUAAUUUAAAUUCCAUAUAGGAUGAAAAAAAUAUGAAUUAGAAUAGCCUCUAUUCUAGCCCCUGGAGCAAAAUGUUUCUUCAUAGUCUAUGCCUUCCUCCUGGUUAUAGCCUUGCACCAUCGGUCUAGCCUUGUUCCAAAUCAUAUUACUAUGCUCAUCAACUUUGUUUCUAUAUACCCACCUAGUCCCUGUGAAUGUUCUGUCUGUAGGGCAUGAGACUAGGUGCCAUAUUUUUCUUCUCUCAAACUGAUGUAGCUCUUUCUGCAUAGAAUUUAUCCAGUUUGUAUCUUUAUUUGAAAACACUCCGCAUCGCGAUGAGCAACAAACUAGAAAUGGUCAAAUUCCAGUGAAGGUUUCCAAAACCACCGCAUCAUGGAUAAGUUUUGUUUAUUAGAUUCGGUGACCUGAAGGUUUAGCGCAUCGCGGAGGAUGAUUAUUUUGCAAUUGUCCCAAUCCAGUGGCUCACCGCGAUAGUGGCGCAUCGCGGUGAGGGUGCAUUUUACAAUUGUUGGGGUGUACUUGAGCUCCACAAUUUCUCAGAUUUUAAUUAAAAAUAGCAAUAGAAGGCAUGGCGCGACGCGCCGGGUGGAUAAAUCGGGAAUAUUUUAACUAUUUUAUCCCAGCUAUAAAAGGAAAAAUCUAAGAUAAUGUGGGGGACUUUUUGUGAAGCAGAGCAGCGGCGAAAAAAUAGAAAUUUCUCUCUUUUAGGGUUCAUAAACAUUCUUUUGAAUUUCUUUAUUUCAAGGAUUGAUUUGGGUAUGAUUUGUUACUUAUUUUGGAUUGUUAAUUCAAACAUGAGUAGCUAAACACCCCCUUUCUGAGGUUGAGGCUAAGAACAUGAGUACUCUUUAAUAUUCUUAUUCAUAGUUUCUUUUUGGAUUAUCAUAUGGGUUGUUCUUAAUUUCUUAAGAUUACUAUUUUAAUGAUUGACCACCAUUAGAAUAAAUUUAUAUUUCUAUGUGAAUUCUAGAGGAGAAUCAUAGGAUAGAACGAAGAAAUUAGGGAGCAAGGUUCUUAUUCUUUUGUAAAAUAAGGGAUUUGAAUUAGCAUCUAGGAUAGGGAUAUACCUAGAAGCCUUGCUUGGUUCACUUGUAGGAAGACAACUUCAUGAAUCUAGAAGAUUUAUUGUAACUCCGUGGGAGUUGUAGUUACCACAUUCAAUAAAGAGAAGAUCUGAGGUCGGGAGACUAAGGUUGUGGCAUAAACCUUGCGAACCAUCAACCCGAUAACCAAUUAGACUGUGAAAAGAAUAGAGAAUUGUACGAUUGUUCACUAUACCUCAACCCUGGAAUCGUCAUCAUUAUUGAUUACAACCGUUGCUUACUUUUCUUUAGUCAUCACUAAUUAUUUAUUGUUUAGUAAAUUGCAUUUUAUUUAUAGAAUCAUCUUAAUCUUAAUACAAUCAAACACUUAACACUAAAUUGUCUUGAACUAAAGAUUGAAUAAAUUUUUAGUUUAUUGAUCCUCAAGAGAGCGAUAUCUGACUGUCUAAGUCAUUAUAUUACUUGUACGAUCACGUACACUUGCGUGUGCGUAGAGACACAAUGAGUUUUUGGCGCCGUUGCUGGGGAUCAAAGGGAAUUAGUAAAUUGCUUUAAUUUUUAGUUUUUGAUCAUAAGUUUAAGUGUUAACAACUUGAUCUUAGCGGCUGAAUUUUCGCAGGUUUAGCUGAACAUUAGACUGGCUAGAGACAAAGAGUUAGUAGAGCCCUUUACAGAACCAGAAGUGAUUUUUCAUCAGAGACGAAGAGCUUAAUACUACACUCAACAGGGAUCGAUGGCGAAAAUACGUGAUCCUAUAGUUUCUGACCCAAAUGUUGGAAAUGUUCCAGCUUCAACUGUUCCUAUUCAACCAGUCGCAAGACCUGUUCGAGAAGUGGCAAUCCCACUUACGCACCUUGUGACUAAUAGUAUCCCGAAGCCUAAACAAGGAGGUCGAUGGGAAUUGAAACAAAAUAUGGUACAAUUAUUGAAAUCUAUGGGAGAAUUUCAUGGACUUUCACACGAGGAUCUGCAGCAACACUUACGAACCUUCCUGGAGAUAAGCGACAUAUAUAUUUCUGAAGAUGUGAGUGCUGAUUAUGUCAGAUUGACACUUUUUUAUUUUUCUCUACUGGGGGAAGCAAAGAGAUGGCUACUUUCUGAACCACACCAAUCCAUCACUACAUGGGAAGAAUGUGCUCGAAGGUUCCUUAUUCAAUUUUUUAUAUCUCAGAAAACAGCUUGAUUAAGGAGUGAGAUAUUAAGUUUCAAAUAGAAAGAUAAAGAAAAUCUCUACCAAGCUUGGAAAAGAUUCAAGGGCAUGCUCAGAAGUUGUCCUCAUCACUAUCAAUUGAAUGAUGUUUUGGUGCAUACAUUUAUAGAAGGCCUUGAGUCUAAUACAAAGAUUCUCCUGGAUUCAGUAGCAUAGGGUCAAGCUUUGGAGAAAACAUAUAAAGAAUUGUAUAGCUUACUAAAUCGAAUUACACAAGGAAAUCCUGAUUGGCAUGCAGACUCGAGGAAUGCUCCCAAGAAAGUUGUAGGGGUUUUGGAGGUUGAUCAGUUCACCGUCUUACAAGCACAAAUUGCAGCAAUACAGAACCAUAGGACUACUCAGUUUAACAACUUAAAGUUGGGUACAACUCAACCAGCAACCAUAAUAAAUGUAAUUCAAUAGGUAUAUGCAUGGUGUGAAGUUUGUAGAAGCAGUGAGCAUAAAGCAGAUGCAUGUUCUGUUAAUCCAGAUUCAGUCAACUACGUGGGGAAUGCAAAUCGUCAGGGUCAACAGAAUUUUGGCAAUACAUAUAAUCCAAAUUGGAGGAACCACCCUAAUUUCUCAUGAGAUGGAAAUCAGGCACAAAAUACAAAGCAGUAUAAGGGACCAGUGCAACCAAAUCCAUAGCCGGUUUAGAAUAAUCUGGUGACUGCUUCGAAUAGUAGCUUGGAGGAGAUGCUUAAGCAGUUGAUAGCUCAACACGCACAGUUUGUAGUGGACAUGAAGGCUCAACAGGUAUAAUUUGUAGCUGAGUUAGAGAGUCAGUAAUUACUCAUAAGAAAUUUGGAGUUGCAGUUAGGUCAAAUCGCAGGAUCACAGAAUACAAGGCCACGAGGAGCAUUGCCUAGCGACACUGAGGCUAAUACUAAAAGUGUAAAUGUGGUUACAAUGAGGAGUGGGCUGCAAACUAAGGAGAUGAUGAAAGAGCAGGAUAAUCUCGUGGUUACUGAUGAUAGUUUGCAAGAAAAGGCAGAAGUAAAAGAAAAAAAAAGGAUAGUGAAGAGAUUCGUGUAUAGAAGAAGACUAUCCCCUUGCCCUUUCCUCAAAGGGCAAGAAAGCAUCAAGAGAAAGCAAGUUUUAAGAAGUUUCUAGAUCUUUUGAAACAAGUUUAAGUAAACCUCCCACUUGUUGACAUUCUACAGAGUGUGCCAAAAUAUGCAAAAUACUUAAAGGAUAUUGUUGCUAAUAAGAAUCGGUUGACUGAAUAUGCUAUAGUUGCACUUACUCAAGAAUGCACAUCUAAAAUUCAAAAUAAGUUGCCCACAAAAUUGAAGGAUUCGGGGAGUUUCCCAUUGCAGAUUUCCCUUGGUCAAACUAUUUAUGCACGUGGAUUGUGUGAUUUGGGGGCUAGCAUAAAUCUCAUGCCUACAUCAUGGUAUCGGAAUAUGGGUCUUAGAAUCCCCAAACCCAUGACUAUUCUGUUGUAAUUGGUAGACAGGUCACUUGCUAGACCAGAUGGUAUUAUUGAAGAUAUACUGGUGCAAGUGGGAUCUUUAAUCUUUCCUGUGGAUUUUGUGAUUCUUGACUUUAAGGCUGAUCCCGUUGUUCUAUUUAUUUUAGGACGACCCUUUUUAACAACAGGGCAGUCACUCAUUGAUGUGGCAGCUAGAAAAAUAAUAAUGCGAGAACACAAUAAAGUAGAGGUUUUUGAUGUGUACAGAACAUUGAAAUUGCCAGCCAUAUAUGAGGAGUUGUCAUCAAUUUUGGUGGGGAUUCAAAAGCAUUGGAAUUAGGCCAGAGCAUGAAUUUGGUUGUAAUUGAGAUAACUAAAGUGUUGAUCGAUCCAUUGAAUAGACCAAUUGGUCCACCAUCCAGGCCUUUAGUUGAAAAAGCUCCUAAAUUGGAGCUUAAGGUUCUUUUUCCUCACUUACAAUAUGUUUUUCUUGGAGAUAAAGACACCUUGCCUAUUAUUUUUUCAGCAGAAUUUCCGAUGUACAGGUAAAGGAAGCUAUAGCAAUUCUCAAAAGAAGAUGAAAAGCGAUUGGUUGGCAGAUGUCUGAUAUUUUAGGAAUCAAUCCAGCAUUUUGCAUGCACAAUAUUUAUAUGGAAGAGGGGUACAUACCUAGAGUGUAGCAAUAAAAGAGGUUGAAUCCUAUUAUAAAAGAGGUGGUCCGGAAAGAGGUGAUCAAGUAGUUAGACAGUGGUAUUAUCAACCUAAUUUUUGAUAGCAAAUAGGUGAGUCCAGUGCAUUGUGUACCAUAGAAGGGAGAAAUGACUGUGGUGAUGAAUGAUGAUAAUGAGUUAGUUCCCAUACGUACAGUUACCGGAUGGAGAAUAUGUAUAGAUUAUCAGACGUUGAAUGAAGCAACUCGGAAAGAUCAUUAUCCAAUUCCCUUUAUUAACCAAAAACUGGAUAGAUUGGCAGGGCAGGAGUAUUAUUGUUUUCUAGAUGGGUACUUUGGCUACAAUCAGAUAAGCAUAGCACCGGAAGACCAAGAAAAGACCACAUUCACGUGUCCAUACGGUAUAUAUACUUUCAGAUGCAUGCCCUUUGGAUUAUGUAAUGCACCUGCUAUAUUUCAAAGGUGUAUGAUUGGAUACAGGGAAGAUAUGAAAGUAGUAAAGGAAUGCAAGGGACUGAAAUUAAGCUGAAAAAGGGAAGUUGGAACGAAGAAAUCCUCAUUUGAAGACACUCCACAUUGCGAUGAGUAAUAAAAUAGCAAUGGUCGAAUUCCAGUGAAGGUUUGCGAAACCACCGCAUCGCGGAGAAGUUUUUUUUAUCAAAUUUGGUGACCUGAAGGUUUAGCGCGUCGCGGAGAAUGAUUAUUUGAUAAUUGUUCCAAUCUAGUGGCUCACCGUGAUAGUGGCGCGUCGCGAUGAGGGUGCAUUUUACAAUUUUUGGGGUGUACUUGAGCUCCACGAUUUCUUAUAUUUUAAUAAAAAAUAGCAACAGAAGGCAUGGCGCGAUGUGUCGGGUGGAUAAAUCGGGAAUAUUUUAACUAUUUUGUCCCAGCUAUAAAAGGAAAAAUCCAAGAUAAUAUGGGGGACUUUUUGUCAAGCAGAGCAGUGGCGGAAAAAUAGAAAUCUCUCUCUUAGGGUUCAUAAACAUUCUUUUGAAUUUAUUUAUUUCAAGAAUUGAUUUGGGUAUGAUUUGUUACUUAUUUUGGAUGGUUAAUUCAAACAUGAGUAGCUAAACACUCCCUUUCUGGGGUUGAGGCUAAGAACAUGAGUACUCUUUAAUAUUCUUAUUCAUAGUUUCUUUUUGGAUUAUCAUAUGGGUUGUUCUUAAUUUCUUGAGCUUACUAUUUUAAUGAUUGGCCACCAUUAGAAUAAAUUUAUAUUUCUAUGUGAAUCCGGGAGGAGAAUCAUAGGAUAGAACGAAGAAAUUAGGGAGCAAGGUUCUUAUUAUUUUGUAAAAUAAGGGAUUUGAAUUAGCAUCUAGGAUAGGGAUAUACCUAGAAGCCUUGCUUUGUUCACUUACAGGAAAACAACUUCAUGAAUCUAGAAGAUUUGUUGUAACUCUGCGGGAGUUGUAGUUACAACAUUCAAUAGAUCGAAGAUCUGAGGUCGGGAGACUAAGAUUAUGGCAUAAACCUUGCGAACCAUCAACCCGAUAACUAAUUAGACUGUGAAAAGAAUAGAGAAUUGUAUGAUUGUUCACUAUACCUUAACCUUGGAAUCGUCAUCAUUAUUGAUUACAACCGUUGCUGACUUUGCUUUGGUCAUCACUAAUUAUUUAUUGUUUAAUAAAUUGCAUUUUAUUUACAGAAUCAUCUUAAUCUUAAUACAAUUAAACACUUAAUACUAAAUUUUCUUGAACUAAAGAUUGAAUAAAUUUCUAGUUUAUUGAUCCUUGAGGGAACGGUAUCUGACUAUCUAAGUCAUUAUAUUACUUGCAUGAUCACAUACACUUGCGUGUGCGUAGAGACGCACCAGGAGUCAUAUUAAGAAUGGACCUAAUAAGACACCUAUUGAUCACAUGACAUGUUUUAUUAACUGCUUCAUCCUAAAAUUUUGAGUUAUUAUUGCAUCAAUCAAUAUAGUCUUGGAGAUAUCCACCAAUGUUCGGUUCUUCCUUUCCACAACACCUUUUUGUUGAGGUGUUCUAGGAGCUAAAAAGUUGUGCUUGAUUCCAAACUCACUGCACAAUUGAUUGAUCAUAGCAUUUUAAAAUUUUGUGCCAUGAUCUAAUCUGAUUUCAGCUAUUUUAUCAUUGUAUUUCACUUGGACUUGUUUAGCAAAGGCUUCAAACACUGGAAAGUUUUUUUUUUAACCAGAAAAAGAAUGUCCAGGUGAACAUGGAAUAGUCAUCAACUAUCACCAGAAUGUAUUUAUUUCCUCCUCUACUUGCAAUCUUUACAGGUCUAUACAAAUCUAUAUGGGGAAGCUAUAGAGGUCUGGAGGUACUCACUUCUUUCUUUGUCUUGAAGGAUGGCCUGGUCUACUUACAAUUCACACAUGCAUCACAUACUUUGGAAUAGGAAAACUUCAACUUUGGUAAUCCUCGAACCAGGUCCUUAGAGACCACUUUGUUCAAUAAUGAGAAACUUACAUGGCAUAACCUUUUGUGCCACAAUUCAACAGUAUAUUCUUGCACACUCAGACAUGUCAGAUUGUUAGGUUUGCUUGACCCCAGAUCUGUAACAUACAUAUUUUUAUUUCUCAAGGCUGUGAGAAUAACUUCACCAUUAUUGAGUCUUGUGACCACACACUUAUUAGACAUAAACUUCACUUUAUUUUCCUUGUUACAAAUAUGUGACACACUCAUCAAGAUGAAUUUUAGACCAUUCACAAAAUGAACAUCAUUAAUGGUUUGGCCUAAACUGUUCCUAACCUUACCCAUUUUUCCCAUCACCAAAGGAUACAUUGCCUCCUUCAUGGUCUUUGAGUGAGAGAAAGUCUUCAGUACUUCCAGUCAUAUAUUUUGAACAUCCACUAUCCAUGUACCAGUGGCGGUUGCUUCCUCUUGCUCUACCCUGUAGACACAUAAGUUGUUAGUUUUACGAACCCAAUGCAGCUUGAGUUCCCAGUAGAGGGACAUGGGAAAUAUCAAAUUAUUUUUAGUCCAAGCAUGUAGAACAACAUUAUUUUUCUUGGAACUAGAAGGUCUCCUCAAGUUUUUUACAAUAGCCAUCCUUGAGGGGCACAAGUCUUUUACAUGAUCAUUUUUACCAUAAUGAGUGCCAGAAGAUUGUUCUUAAUAGAUAUAUAUUUGUUAAGUGGGUUAUAAGGUUCACUUGAACUCUAGAAACCAAGACCCCUUCUAUUAUUACACUUUUGAGCAGUCAAACUUUAAUAUCCCGAACUUUCCCUAAGCUUAAUUUCAUCUCGAGAAGGUUAAGAAAUGACUUCCUAGGUGAGUAUCAUUUUUAACCAUAUAAAAUUUCCCUAAUUUCAACUUUUUAUUACAUGAUCCGAUACCCGGACAAGAAGUUAUGGCUAAUUUAAGUUCUAGUCAUAAAAUACUAUCAUUUCAGUGCUUGGCGUAUCGCGGAGUGGGUCUAUUUAACAAUUGUCAAAUUCUAGUAGCCUAGCGCAAUAGUGGUGCAUCGCGCUGAAGUUCCAGGUCCCAACCAGUGGGACAACGCGAUGGAUCUGCAUCGCGGUGACCCCAAGAAUCCCAUUUGUCAAUUUCCAGUGAGCCACCGCGAUAGUGGCGCAUCGCGGUGGCCCAUAGAAUUGGGUUCCUAGUUAUAUUUUUUUAGUUACAUUAGGGGUUAAAAGGGGGGUAUUUCGGGUAAUUGCCCUACCCCAAGCCAUACAUAAACACACAAUCAAUGUCAUAACAAAGCACUUUAUGCCCAAAAUCUUCAUUCUCUGCAAAGCAAAAGCCCUAAGCAUCCAAAUCCUCCCCCAAGAAUCUCAAGAAUUCAUCAUAGUUUUCUAAAUUGAAUUGAGAUUCGAGGUUUCCAAGACAAAAGCUUCAAGAACCCUUAUCCAAAAGUAUGAGAAAGAGUCUCAAGCAAGAUUAUUCGUCAAAGUUCAUAAUUCUAGGUAUGUGGGGUUUGAACAAGAACACUCCUUUCGUUCUUGUGCCCAAAGUUUUAGUUUUCUUAAAAUAUUUUAAUGUUUUCAAGACGAAUUAUGCCUAAAUUGCUACAUUUAAGUAUAUGAGAUUAUGGAUUUGUUCAAGUCUUAAAUUAUAGGACACUACACCUAUUUUAUGAUUUGAAUUGAGAAUUAAUGUUAUGAAUUGCAUAUUCCUUCCAUGAUUGGUGUUUGGAAUACUCUUAGGAUUGAAGUUAUGAUUUACCCUCUAUUUUGAAUUGAGAUUUCUUGAAUAUGUAUACAUGUUUUAAGGUCCAAGAAUGAAUUUUGAUAUAUUCUAUAGUAUUUUAAGAAUCCUAUUGAUAUCUCCAUAUCAUUGAAGUUUCAAAGCUUGUUAAAGAUAGUCUACCAAAGUUUAAAUAGACACGUUGAUUUUGAUCCUAAGUUAAGAAAGGAAUCCACAUCUUGUGAUUUAAGUUAAAGGGAAGAAAAUUGGCUCCCAUUUCAUAAUGUUGAAUUAUAUAAGGUGGAUUUUCCUAAAAGUUUUGAGCCUAGUAUGGGAGUAGUACUUAGCACUGAGUUGGGCUUGAUUCAGAGGUCUCAUGCCCCAGAACUAUGAGCCACCAUAGGAUUUCAUUUACUCCAAUUGGGUUAAGCUAGUGAUUACUAAAAGUAAAAGGUUCUACUCUGAUGGCGGGCAAGACGUUGGACUAAAUGUGGCUCACAUAGUUUAUGUCUUUUAGAAGAAUCUCCCAAAAGUAGUCCCUACUCUAUUUAAGAUAAAAGUACUUGUAUUUCAAAAGCCAUGAUUCUAAGAUUUCUAAGGUUCUCAAGUGCUAUAAUCUUUAAGUUUCAAAGAAGCUCCUUGUUUUCCAUAAGAUUAAAGUGUAUGUUCUGAAGGUUGUCUCUUUAAGACUUUAUCUAGUUCACAAGCUUGAGUACAAAGGAAAAGUACAGAUUUAGAAUAACGUGAAAUGACUCACAUGAUUUAUAUGGUAUGUUUUUUAUUCAUGAUUUAUGAGGAUUUUAUUCAAGCUAUGUGAGUCACUUAUUAUGGCAUGCAUGUUUUCUAUAAAGACUUAUGAUAUGGAUUAUGUAAUUGCAUACACCCCCAUAUACUCAGUACAUUCCCAAGUGUUGAUCCACAUAUACGCCUAUGUGCUACAUUGUCUUAUAAUAUAGGUUCAGGUGCUCAGCAACAGCUUCAUUAGUGACUUUCGAGUACCUUUGUCUAUAUCUCAACAGUGGUGAGUCCUCAUGGUUUGAGGACCUAUCUUCAGACAUUUUAGUAUUUUAGUAGAUGUUUUAUUUCUUUCAAUUUAGUUCGAUUCAGUUGGGGAUCUGUCCCAAUGGCUCUCUAGUUCAUUGAGUAGUAGAGGCUUUGUCAGAAUAGAUUGUAGUAUAUUUAGACAUUAGUAUUUUUUUACUUUCACAAUACUCUUUCAUAUUUCAGUGAGACGUUCUAUGGUAUGUCUCAGUAUGUUGCUCGCAGUACCUUGAUUUAAGCAUUUAGAAAUAGUAGUAGGCUCAAAGGGUUAGCUUGGGGUUACUAGUAGACUUAAGCACCGUGUGACAUAUCGGAACCCAUUUUCAGGGCAUUACAAACUUAGUAUUAGAGCCUAAAGUUUAAGGAGUCCUAGGGAGUCUAACAAGUCGCGUUAAGUAGAGUCUUGAUCAUCGACGUGUAGCGCGCCACAUCAAUAAGCAAGAAGCUACAAGAUGUUUUAGGAAAAAGUCAUCCCUUUCUUUCAGAACCUAUCGUGCUUACAGUUGUCUCUCUCAGCUAUUGACUCGUGCUUUGUUAUUUAACAAAAUUCCUCGUCAAAGAGCUAAUGCCCACAGAAACAAUAACGAACCACCCCAUCCAGUUGACCCCUUGAAUGCAAACAUAUCCCAUACUGAGUUUCGGGCAUCUUUUCAGGCGCUAUCCCAAGCAAUCAUAGCAAAUGUUCAGGCCAAUAACUAGGCCGCAGUUCCACACCAGUAGGGAGGUGAUUUAGCUACUACUAGAAUUUGUGAUUUCAUGUGGAUGAAUUUGCUAGAGUUUUAUGGGUCUAAGGCAGGUGAAAACCCACAGUUAUAUCUUGAGGAGGUAAGGAAAAUCACAGAGGUGUGCAUGUUUCUGAGGAAAAAAGUAUGGAGUUGGCGUCUUACAGGUUGAAAGAUAUUGCUUAUAACUGGGUUGUUGUAUGGAAGAAAAAUAGAAGGGAAGAUGAUGCUCCCGUUACUUGACAGGUAUUUCAAGAUGCUUUCUUGGAUAAGUUCUUUCUAUUAGAGAUGAGGGAGGCAAAAAUAGAGGAGUUUAUGAACUUAAGGCAGGGUUGCAAGACUGUUAAGGAGUACUGCUUGAAGUUCAACCAGUUAGCAAAAUAUGCCCCUGAUUUGAUUUCUGACACCCAUACUAGUAUGAGUAAGUUUGUGAUAGGAGUUUCGUGUUGAAAGAGUGCAGGAGCGCUAUGUUAAAUAGGGAUAUAUAUCUCUCUAGAUUAAUGAUGCAUGCACAGUAAAUAGAGGUAGAAAAGAUAAGAGAAAGAGAUAGAGUGAGGGGAAACAAGAGGACUAGGUCUGAGCAGCAUGAGUAUGGUCAGGCUAGGUCCUAUGGAGGGAACCAUCCAUAGUUUUAGAGUCAUUCUUCUAUGCCAGCACCUUUUUCAGCUAGUGCUCCCAUUCCCAAAAAUAAGCAGGAGCAAGGGAAUAGGCCUUCUAUGUCUAAGUCCCAGAAUAGUGUAAGUAACAGACCUAAUUAUCCUCCUUGUGCUAAGUGUAGUAAGACCCAUCCCAAUGAGUGUUUGGCCGAAUAGAGGGGUUGUUUUGGUUAUGGCAAGUUGGGCCACAGACUUAGGGAGUGUCGCCAGGUAGGGGAACAGGGAUGUACGACCUCAGAUGCAGGCUAAUAGUGCCCCAGCUCCCGUAGCCCAUCCAGCCCCUCCUUAAGGUGCUUCUUCUAGCACUACUGGCGGUCAGUGCCAGAACAGAUUCUAUUCCUUACCAUCCUGUCAAGAGCAGGAGGAUUCUCUCGACGUUGUUACUGGUAUGCUUCGUGUAUUUCAAUUUGAUGUUUAUGUGUUGUUGGACCCCGGGUUGAGUUUUUCUUAUGUGACUCCACUUAUUGCUAUGAACUUUGAAAUGGGUCCCGAAAAUAUUCCUGAGCCUUUCCUAGUUUCUACUCCAGUAGGGGAGUCAGUUAUUGCCAAGCAAGUGUAUAAUGACUGUCUUAUUACUAUUCUUCAUAGAGUCAUACUUGUUGAUCUGAUAGAGCUACAUAUAGUGGAUUUUGAUGUUAUUCUAGGUAUGGACUGGCUUCAUUCUUAUUAUGCAUUUAUAGAUUGUCGUACCCCUGUAGUUAGGUUUCAGUUUCCUGAUGAACCAAUUUUUGAGUGGUCUGGGAGUUCAGUAUCCCUCAAGAGUCAUUUUAUCUCCUAUCUCGAAGCCAGAAAGCUUAUAUCUAAAGGUUGCAUCUAUCACCUAGUUAGGGUUAGAUACACCAAGUCUGAGGCUCCAACUAUUCAGUCAGUCGACGUUGUUAAUAAGUUUCCUGAUGUUUUUCUGGAAGAUCUCCCAGGGGUACCUCCCGAUAGAGAGAUAGAAUUUGGGAUUGACCUUUUUCCCAACACUCAGCCUAUUUCAAUUCCUCCCUACCAUAUGGCACCCGCAGAGCUUAAGGAGUUGAAAGAGCAACUAAAAGAUCCUUUAGAUAAAGGUUUUAUAAGGCCCAGUAUGUCACCUUGGGGCGCACCUGUUCUAUUCGUGCGAAAGAAAGAUAGCUCUUUGCGUAUGUUCAUUGAUUAUCGUCAGCUUAAUAAGGUCACAGUCAAGAAUAAGUACCCCCUUCUGAGAAUAGAUAACCUGUUUGAUCAAUUGGAGGGUGCAAGUUACUUCUCAAAGAUAGAACUUCGAUCCGGCUAUUAUCAACUCAAAGUAAGGGAGUGUGACAUCCCAAAGACAGCCUUCCGUACUCGUUAUGGUCACUUUGAGUUUCUAGUCAUGUUUUUUGGGCUAACCAAUGCUCCAGCAGCCUUUAUGGACCUCAUAAAUCGAGUAUUCAAAUAAUAUCUUGAUAUAUUUGUCAUUAUUUUCAUAGAUGAUAUUCUUGUGUAUUCCCAUAGUGAGAAUGACUAUGCAGAUCAUCUUAGAAUUGUCCUACAGACUCUUAGAGAUCACCAGUUGUUCGUUAAAUUCAGCAAGUGUGAAUUUUGGCUAAGUUCAAUAGCUUCUUUGGGUCAUAUCAUUUCAGCCGAAGGCGUUAAGUUAAUCCCUAAAAUAUAGAAGCUGUAAGAAAUUGGCCUAGACCCAUUUCUCCGUCUGACAUUAGGAGUUUCUUGGGUCUAGCUGGCUAUUACCGCCAUUUUGUUGAAGGUUUCUCUUCUAUUGCAUCUCUCAUGACCCAAUUGACCCAAAAGAAAGUUAAGUUCAUUUGGUCAGAUUCCUGUGAGAAGAGUUUUCAGGAAUUGAAGACUCGACUCACUUCAGCCCCUAUGUUAACUUUGCCUAAUGGUACAGAUGGUUUUGUGGUGUAUUGUGACACCUCUAUAGUUGGUUUGGGUUGUGUGCUGAUGUAGAAUGGUAAAGUUAUAUCCUAUGCCUCUAGACAGUUGAAACCUCAUGAAAAGAAUUACCCAACCCAUGAUCUGGAAUUAGCUGUUGUGGUCUUUGCUUUGAAAAUCUAGAGGCAUUAUCUUUAUGGUGUUCAUGUGGACGUGUUCAUUGAUCACAAAAGCCUGCAGUACGUAUUUUCUCAAAGGGUGUUAAAUCUUAGGCAGAGGAGAUUGUUAGAACCGCUAAAAUAUUAUGAUAUGAGUAUGUUGUAUCACCCAGGCAAGGCCAAUGUAGUGGAAGAUUCCCUUAGCAGGUUGUCUAUAUAUAGUGUUUCUCAGGUAGAGAAGGGUAAGGAAGAGUUAGCUUGUGAUGUGCAUCAUUUGGAUAGAUUGGGCAUUAGGUUUCUUGAUUCCGCUGAGGGGAGUAUUUUAGUGCAGAGUAAUUUCGAAUCCUCUCUGGUUUCAAAAGUGAAGGAGAAGCAAGACUCAGAUCCUAGUUUGGUCAAACUGAAGGAGUCAGUCAAGGACCAAAGGGUAGAGGUUUUCUCCCAAGAUAGAUAUGGUGUGUUGAGAUUACAAGGUAGAUUAUUUGUUCCUUGUGUUGACGAUCUGAGAAUGAGGAUCAUGGUAAAGACGCAUGGUUCACGGUAUUCUAUUCAUCCCGGUGCUACCAAGAUGUACCAUGACUUAUGAGAAAUCUAUUGGUAGAGUGGUAUGAAGAAGGAUAUAGCUGAGUUCGUAGCUAAGUGUGCAACUUGCCAACAGGUUAAAGUAGAGCAUCAAAGACCUAGUGGUGUGAUGGAAGAGCUUAGUAUACCUACUUGGAAAAGGGAAGAUAUAAAUAUGGAUUUUGUGAUUGGUUUACCACUCUCCCAAUGCCAUCAUAAUUCUAUUUGGGUUGUUGUAGACAGGCUGAUUAAUUCAGCACAUUUUUUGCCCAUGCAUACAUCUUAUACUGCUGAGGAUUAUGCUAGACUGUAUAUUCGGGAGUUAGUCAAGAUGCAUGGAGUUCCCUUGUCUAUCAUCUCAGAUAGGGGUACUCAGUUUACUUCUCAAUUU